rnacentral:rRNA from 1 species
UACGUAGGGUGCAAGCGUUAUCCGGAAUUAUUGGGCGUAAAGAGCUCGUAGGCGGUUUGUCGCGUCUGCUGUGAAAACUGGAGGCUCAACCUCCCAGCCUGCAGUGGGUACGGGCAGACUAGAGUGCGGUAGGGGAGAUUGGAAUUCCUGGUGUAGCGGUGGAAUGCGCAGAGUAUCAGGAGGAACACCGAUGGCGAAGGCAGAUCUCUGGGCCGUAACUGACGCUGAGGAGCGAAAGCAUGGGGAGCGAACAGG